GUUUUUUUUUUUUCUUUUUUUUUUCGGGACUUAAUGUAUCAUGUUGAUAUUCCUUAUUUCUCGGCUGUGAAAACUGCCAAAUACUGCACCAUUAGCAAUGUUGAACAAUAACUCCAAGACAAUUCUUUAUGAAAAAGUCUUUACCCUUUGUAUUUACUCCCCAUUCACUUCGACAGCCCUUUUCAUACACAAUUUUGCAAACUAAAAACCAAGACAACAGAACUAACUUAAAUACGCCGAUAAAAUAAUUACAAAAAAAAAAAAAAAAACAAAGACCUAACUUUUCCAGCACAAGAAAAGGAUUUCAAAACCCCCAACUUUUGGGAGCAUCUCCACGCCAAGCCAUGCCUUGCAGCCCUGCUUCAAGUCCGGGUGAUGCCCUGUAGUUGGACUGAUAGGCACCAAGGUUAUGGGAGCCAGGGGUGGGAACCGUCCGAAGGCCCUGCUGCCAUGAAGGGGCAGUAUGCUGCGGGCCAUGAAUCACAUUCAUUUGGGGUGGUCGCAAGGACACGGGUUGUGAAGCCAUUUGCGGGGGUGUGAUCUGCUGCAUCAUAUGGGCACGUAAAAUUGGCGGCUGUAUGUCAUGCAUAUGUACUGGCUGAAGCUGUGGUUUAUUUUCUUCUGGAUGCCAUUCAGGCAUGUCAUCAUCGUCAUCAUUCCAUGGCCGCACUGCAACCCCUAUAGUUCUAUUAUCCUGCCAAUUCCCUGAAGGGGCACUAGUUUUAGGAAGUCCAUAUCUUUGUACAAGCUCCCUCAUUUGAUCUACAGGGCGAGAUGGUGUUUGUAAGUGUGGUUGAAAGGGGGGCAUCCCUUGCCCCCGAGUAACACUAUAGGUAGUUGACUGUGGCCCUGAUGUAACUGAACCACUUGAAAAGUUAAACUCAGGCAGGUCAUCCUCAUCCCGAGCAGCCGGCGGGCCAAACCCAGGAGGCACAUCAUCAUCGUCAUCGUCAUCAGGUUCAACUCUAGUGUAGGUAGUAGGUCCAUUACUGGGUGAGGUCUGUUUAGGCGUGAGAUUCACAUUUACAUUAGCAUCCUUUUCUUGGCGUCUCCUAGAAAAGGAGUGUUGCUUUUUUGAAUUGUGUUUAUGGGGUGAUGCGGAGUUGGGUGACAUUGUUGACGUUAUUUGAGGUUUUCUCCAUACAAUAACACCAAUUAGACCAUUAUCAAUAGCAUUAAGGGCAUCAAUUUGGUCCUUUGGAAGGACCUUUGCAAGCAAUUCGCUAGUCUUUGACAGAGGCGGGCAGAAAUAGAGUUCCACUCCAGAAGCAGGCUCCGCAAAACCCACCCUCCCAUCCAUGACGUACGAAUCAGACACCUCACUAAAACCUGCACGCUCACUAUCUGCUGACCCCUCCUUGCAAACAAAGUGUAGAACCAUAACAGCACGACUUCGGGACAUUGG
rnacentral:misc_RNA from 1 species